rnacentral:misc_RNA from 1 species
GAAAUGCGAUAAGUAAUGUGAAUUGCAGAAUUCCGUGAAUCAUCGAAUCUUUGAACGCACAUUGCGCCCCUCCGGUAUUCCGGGGGGCACGCCUGUCCGAGCGUCAUUGCACCCCCUCCAGCCCGGCUGGUGCGUUGGGCGCCCGUCCCCCCGGACCUUGGGGGGACGCGCCCGAAAGGCAGCGGCGGCGGCGGUACCGGACGCCCGAGCGCAUGGGGAUUGUCACGCGCGCUCCCGGGUCGGACCGACGUCUGCCUGACGUGAACGUUUUCCAAGGUUGACCUCGGAUCAGGCGGGGAUACCCGCUGAACUUAA